GUCCGGGACUGAGCUGUUUCGAGAAGAGUGGAGACUGCUGUAUUGGGGCGUUUCGGGCUCUGGUAUGAUGGAAACCAUUUUAAUCGCAAUGGCUUGAACCGGGCAAAAGUCGUAACAAGGUAUCUGUAGGUGAACCUGCAGAUGGAUCAUCG
rnacentral:ncRNA from 1 species